rnacentral:rRNA from 1 species
GACGAACGCUGGCGGCGUGCUUAACACAUGCAAGUCGAACGGAAAGGCCCUGCUUUUGUGGGGUGCUCGAGUGGCGAACGGGUGAGUAACACGUGAGUAACCUGCCCUUGACUUUGGGAUAACUUCAGGAAACUGGGGCUAAUACCGGAUAGGAGCUCCUGCUGCAUGGUGGGGGUUGGAAAGUUUCGGCGGUUGGGGAUGGACUCGCGGCUUAUCAGCUUGUUGGUGGGGUGUGGCCUACCAAGGGUUUGGCGGGUAGCCGGCCUGGGAGGGUGACCGGCCACAUUGGGACUGAGAUACGGCCCAGACUCCUACGGGAGGCAGCAGUGGGGAAUAUUGCACAAUGGGCGGAAGCCUGAUGCAGCAACGCCGCGUGCGGGAUGACGGCCUUCGGGUUGUAAACCGCUUUCGCCUGUGACGAAGCGUGAGUGACGGUAAUGGGUAAAGAAGCACCGGCUAACUACGUG